GGGAUGCCGUCGGAGUGCCCACACAUCGCCGUCGAAGUCGGAGGGGCCUCAGAUCUGCCGUGGAGGAGGCGGCGGCUUGGGGAUGGCUUGGGUUAAGGAGAACCCUAGCAGAGAACCUUUUUUUUUUUCUUUCCCUCUGUUCUUAAAAGAAAAUGAAAUAGAGAUUUUUUUUUUGUUUGUUAAAAGGAAAUUUUUUGAUUUUAGUAUUAAAGAAAAGUGGUGCCGUUUAAUGGCCCUGAAGUUGCCUUUUUAUUCCAAUGGUUUAUUAUCGCAAUUGGUCCCUUUCC
rnacentral:lncRNA from 1 species